rnacentral:rRNA from 1 species
UACGUAGGGGGCAAGCGUUGUCCGGAUUUACUGGGCGUAAAGAGCGUGUAGGCGGCCAAACAGGUCCGUUGUGAAAACUGGAGGCUCAACCUCCAGACGUCGACGGAAACCGUGUGGCUAGAGUCCGGAAGAGGAGAGUGGAAUUCCUGGUGUAGCGGUGAAAUGCGCAGAUAUCGUCAAGAACACCGAUAGCGAAGGCAGCUUACUGGGCUGUAACUGACGCUGAUGCACGAAAGUGUGGGGAUCAAACAGG